rnacentral:rRNA from 1 species
UGUACCUACGGGGCGCAGCAGUGAGGAAUAUUGGACAAUGGGCGCGAGCCUGAAGCAGCCAAGCAGCGUGAAGGAUGACUGCCCUACGGGUUGUAAACUUCUUUUAUAAAGGAAUAAAGUGAGGCACGUGUGCCUUUUUGCAUGUACUUUAUGAAUAAGGAUCGGCUAACUUCGUGCCAGCAGCCGCGGUAAUACGGAGGAUCCGAGCGUUAUCCGGAUUGAUUGGGUUUAAAGG